AGCUGGUUAGAGCGCACGCCUGAUAAGCGUGAGGUCGAUGGUUCGAGUCCAUUUAGGCCCACU
rnacentral:tRNA from 1 species